GACGAACGCUGGCGGCGUGCCUUACACAUGCAAGUCGAACGGAGUGGCGAACGGGUGCGUAAUGUAUCGGAACGUGCCCAGUAGCGGGGGAUAACUCCGCGAAAGCGUAGCUAAUACCGCAUACUAUUGGAGCGGCCGAUAGCGGAUUAGCUAGUUGGUGGGGUAACGGCUCCCCAAGGCGACGAUCCGUAGCUGGUUUGAGAGGCCGACCAGCCACACGGGGACUGAGACACGGACCAGACUCCUACGGGAGGCAGCAGUGGGGAAUUUUGGACAAGGGGGGAAACCCUGAUCCAGCCAUCCCGCGUGUGCGAUGAAGGCCUUCGGGUUGUAAAGCACUUUUGGCAGGGAAGCGGUACCUGCAGAAUAAGCACCGGCUAACUACGUGCCAGCCGCCGCGGUAAUAC
rnacentral:rRNA from 1 species